GUAUUUAUCUGGCAGGGGAGAUACCAUGAUCAGGUGAUUUUCCUAAGGUGAAGCUUAUGCAUUACAUUCCAGCUAUGCUGACUCUUGCAAUCUUGCCAAAUGUGGAAAACUCAGUUCCAUAAUUUGUGGUCAAGGGGGAAUGCACUCAUACCCCCCCUUU
ensembl:snRNA U1 U1 spliceosomal RNA